ensembl:lncRNA
CUCGAUUCAAGAGCCGAGGAAGAGAUAGUGUCUUCAGCAAACGGCACCAGAACACUUUGGUAUCCGUAUAUAAAAAAUUAACCUCAACCCUUUUUUUCCUUACAUGAAAAUAACUUGAAGGGAUCUAUGAACCUAAAUAAGAAAGCCUAAAAGUAUAAAACUUUAGGAAGAAAUUAUAAGGGAAAAUAUUUAUGAAUUCAGGGUAGGCAAGAACUACCUAGGAUACAAAAAACAUGAUAUAUAAAAGAAAAAUAUUGAUAAAUGGGAUUCCAUCAAAAUUUAGAACUUUAAAUGACAUCAUUAAAAUGAAAAGUAGUUCUUAAACAGACCAUAUUUACCACACAUAUAACCUAUGUGGAGAAUAUAUAAAGAGUUCUUAGAGCUCAUUAAUAGACAACCCGAUUAAAAUGUAGACAUAAGAAGAUGAUAAAUAGCCAGUAUAGCAUAAGGAAUGGUGUGCAACUCUAGAAUCAGAAAAAUACUCAUCAGUACAAUAAUAAGAUUGAAUUAUACACUCAUUAGGGAGAUGGAGUCAAAAGUUUUAAAAGCCUUGUCAUGACUUUUUCUUUUUGUUGGAUUCUCCCCUUUUGCGUUUAAUUUGUCAUGCCCAAUGGAUUCAUUCUGCUGGGUUUCCUGGGGUUGUGAUCCUCAUUGUCUUUUCCUAGGGUAUUGUCUAAAAUUUUUUGGAGUGCUGGUUUGGUAUUUAUGAAGUUCCUGAGGUGCUCUUUAUCAUGAAAGUAUCUUAUUUCUGCAUCAAUUUUGAAAGAUAGUUUUGCAGGGUACAUCAAUCUGGGUUGGAGGCUGUUUUCCUUUAGGGCUUGAAAUCCAUCACUCCAAGCUCUUGUUGCCUUGAGGGUUUGCAUUGAGAAGUCUGCUGUGAUUCUGAUGGGCUUUCCUUUGUAUGUGAUUUGUUUCUUUUCUCUCACUGCUUGUAGAAUUUUGUUCUUCUGUUGGAUUUCUGGAAUCCUAACUGUUAUAUGCCUAUGUGUAGGUUGUUUUUGAUUAAGCCUAGCUGGAGUCCUAUGUGCCUCAUUUAUCUGUAUGUCAAGUUCUUUUCCCCUCCUUGGGAAGUUUUCUGCCAUCACUUCUGUGAACAGAUUUUUUAUGUCAUCUGCACUCUCUCCUCUUUCUUCAUUGACUCCAAUCCGUCUUAUGUUAUUCUUCUUUCCAUCAUCUAGCAGCUGCUGGAUUGAUUUCUCAUGUUCCCUUACAAUUUUAAGGCAAUUUUUCUAUUCCUCCUCACUAAUUGCAAUCUUAUCUUCUAUAUGUGAAAUUCUAUCCUCACAUUGGUUCAUUCUGCUGCGUAGACUUUUGAUGGAGUUUUUAAUCUCUUGGAAAUCUGUUUGUAUCUGUUUUGUGGAUUCCACUUGUUUCCCGUGUUGGGAUUCCAUCAUGUUCCUCAGAUCCUCUAUUUUUUAAAUCUGUGUCCUCUCUAGAUUUAUUAAUCAUGUCUUGCACCAUGAGCACAAUCUUUGCUGUUAUCUGAGUAAUUAUUUCUGAUUUCAUUUUUCCCAGAUCCUCUUUUGUUGCCAGUUCAGAGAGUCCAGGUGGUUGAGUAUCAGGUAGGGUUGCUGUAGGUGAUCUGGAAGUCUGUUUUUGAGGCUUGUUUAUGUGUCUUGUCAUUUCUACUGGCGGGGGGGGGGGUGCUUCUGGCACCCAUGGGGCUCACCUUCUCUGCCCUAGGAGCUUGGGAUGGCAGUGGGGGAGCUUCCUUCCAGGUGCUGGGACCAGC